rnacentral:misc_RNA from 1 species
GAUGAAGAACGUAGCGAAAUGCGAUAAGUAGUGUGAAUUGCAGAAUUCAGUGAAUCAUCGAAUCUUUGAACGCACAUUGCGCCCCUUGGUAUUCCAUGGGGCAUGCCUGUUCGAGCGUCAUCUACACCCUCAAGCUCUGCUUGGUGUUGGGCGUCUGUCCCGCCCCCGCGCGUGGACUCGCCCCAAAUCCAUUGGCAGCGUUCCUUGCCCCCUCUCGCGCAGCACAUUGCGCUUCUCGAGGGCGGCUCCGGGACGCGAUCCAGCAAGAUGACCACCGUCUUUGACCUUGGAUCAGGUAGGGAUACCCGCUGAACUUAAGCAUAUCAAUAAGCGGAGGA